rfam:Pneumocystis murina B123 supercont1.8, whole genome shotgun sequence.
GGGAAGAUGUCCGAGUGGUUAUGGAGUCACGUUCAGGUCGUACUUUUAUGUGAUUCGUGAUAGCGAAAGCUGCGUGGGUUCGAAUCCCACUCUUCCCA